UUCGUACAUUCUAGUUUGUCCAUGUUUCUCCAUGUUUCUCACUUUCCAGUUUGAAUUUUUCCGCCGUCGCCGUUUGCAAAGAGAAACACCGCAACUCUUGUUCCACACCGCAACCCUUCCUCUUCCUCCACACCACAACUAAUUUUCACUUCAACACAACAUAUUUAACAUUGCGAGAACGACCGCUGCAACACAGUUUUAUCACCGCCACGAGAUCCACCACCGCAACCUAACUUAUUUACCGCCCCGAGAGUAACCACUGCGACACAGCCUAUCUACCGUUGUGAGAACCACCCUUGCAACACAACCUAUUUAUUACUGCGAGAGCCACUCCACUCGUAGUCAAAUUCUCAAUAAUCCAAUUUUAAUCGGAAGUAGAGAAAGAACAACAAUACCAUUUGUCGAAUAGUUAUAGGUGGUAUGGAGGGACUAAAAGAUGUGUCAACGGAAGUGGUUGAUGAAACAGGUGAGACUACUGUUGAUGAUAUUAGUGCUGAGGAGGGAGAAUCCAUUGAAAAUAUUAUAAAUAUUGAUAGUAUGGAGGAUAUUCUUAGUAUGGACUUGAAAAGACUAAGUCCCCACGAGACAAGAAAAAUUCAAUUUUCAAGUCUGGACAUGGCUUAUGCGUUCUACAACCAGUAUGCUAAAACGAACGGGUUUGCAGUUCGCAAGAGCAAGAUCCUUCGAAGCAAGAAAGGAGAAACAUUACAGCGGACAUUUGUUUGUCACAGACAGGGGUUUAGGGAGGAUAGAGGUUUAACAAUAGAAAAUCGCAAGCGUGAGCGUAAACCUGAUACUCGGUGUGGAUGUGAAGCAAAAUUUCGAGUGCAUAUAGAUAUGUUCUCACAAUGUUGGUGGAUAACAAUUUUUAACGAUCGGCACAACCAUGACCUUUUACAUGAAGAGUACCACGGAAUGCUAGCUUCACAUCGAAAAAUGGAAGAUUCAGAUAUAAUGCAGAUGAAUGACAUGUUGAAGGUUGGUAUAAGACCGUCUCAAUUCUAUGGUUCGUGUGCCAACCAAUCAGGAGGGUAUGAAAAAAUUGGGUUUCGUAGGAAAGAUAUAUAUAAUCAGAUAGGAAAGCAACGCCUUUUGCAACGAUGUGAUGGUAAAAAUGCUUUGCACUAUCUUCAUGGACUGGCAUCUGAUGACCCGAUGAUGUUUUAUCGCCACACUGUUGAUGGAGAAGGUAGGCUUGAACACCUUUUUUGGUGCGAUGGUAUAAGCCAAAUGAAUUUCAAAGUUUUUGGCGAUGUUUUGGCAUUUGAUGCAACAUAUGGGACGAACAAAUACCAUUGCCCUUUAGUGGUGUUUUCCGGAGUUAAUAACCAUAAUCAUAAUAUUAUAUUUGGUGGUGCCAUUGUUGCAAAUGAAAAAGAAGAAACGUAUGUGUGGGUUCUUGAACAAAUGUUGGAAGCAAUGUCAGGUAAGUCGCCUAUAUCUGUCAUUACUGAUGGCGAUCUUGCAAUGAAGAAAGCUAUAAAAAGGGUGUUUCCGAAUGCUUAUCAUAGGUUGUGUGCUUGGCAUCUAAUUCGCAAUGCAAUGUCUAACAUUGGAGUUCCUGAAUUUGUUGGUCAGUUUAGGAAAUGCAUGUUGGGUGACUAUGACUUGGGUGAGUUUCGGCGCAAGUGGGCUGACAUGAUUGACACAUUUGGGUUGCAUGACAACAAGUGGGUUACUGAACUGUAUGCAAAGAGAAAUAUGUGGGCUACAGCGCAUAUACGUGGCAAAUUUUUUGCCGGGUUCAGAACUACCUCCCGGUGUGAGGGGUUACAUUCAGAAAUGGGAAAGUUUCUUCACUCACGAUAUAAUUUGACUGAUUUUUUAUUACAUUUUCAUCGGUGCCUUAAUUUCAUGCGUUAUAAGGAGGUUGAAGAUGACCUUGCAUCAAAUUACGGAGAUCGUGUGCUACAAACGAGAUUCCAAAGCUUGGAGCGUUGCGCUGGCAAGUUAUUUACUAAGGAAAUAUUCUUUAUGUUUCGUGAUAUUCUUGCAAAGUCUGCAGAGAUGGUUGUGGCAACAUGCAAUCAAACUUAUACAUGCUUUAUAUACACAGUUCGCAAGUACCAAUCGUCAAAAAGGGAGUGGAACGUAUCAUUCUAUCCUGAUGAUGACGUGUUUAAAUGUUCUUGCAAGAAGAUGGAAUCAUUUGGCCUCCCGUGUGAGCAUAUUAUUGCACUAUUGAUAUUUUUAGAUGUCGCAGAGUUGCCAAAGUCUCUGGUGGCAGAUCGGUGGACAAAGAACGCGAAGGAAGAGAUAUGUAGAACAAAUAAGCAUCUUCCAAAAUAUUGGGAUUCACACAAGUCGUCGAGAUAUUCUGCUCUUAUGUUUCGAUAUAUGCGUUUGAGCAAAUUAGUAAGUGAGAAUGGUGAAGAUUUCGAUGAUCAUAUGAAACAGGCUGCUGCUGAUAUCCGAAAAAUGGAAGCAAAAAUGGGCUUACAUGAUGAUGGACCCACAAAUUCAAGUGAACUUGUCCAGGAGACACUGAAGGAUCCUGCUCUAGCUAGAACUAAAGGAUGCGCUGGCGAUUCUUCAUCGCGUCAGAAAAAAAGGAAGCGGACUCAGUGUUCUAUUUGCGGAAAAUUUGGCCAUAACAAGCAAACAUGUUCAUUUCCUCGACAUAAUGCUAACACGAAAAAUUCGUCACUCGGAGAUUUUCACAACAUUGAAUUCAGUGAUGACUCUUUGCAUAACGAUCUUGAUUGAAUUGUAAAAGCGCAUCUAUAAGUGUGAAAACGGAUGCACCUCGAAUGUUAAACUUGGUCAUGCAAGCUGAUUCAAGAAAUUCGUAGAAUUCUUUCACUGGCUAUUGGAUCUCAAUUCAUUUCUUUUCUGUUUGUUUUUAUUAAAAUAUUUUGUUGCAUGGAUGAUGUAUUUGUUCCCCACUUGAUGAUAGUUACGUAUUUCAGUUGUGCCUUUUCUAUCUGAUAGCAUUUGAUCUGUUAGUUUGGUUAUACAUGCAUUUGUAGUGUGGACUACCCAUGUACUUAAUAAAUUAAAUUUUAUUUUAUUAAAUUGAUUGUUGGUCUGAUUUGGAUUAACGUAAGAUUGGAUAAGAUAUAUCUUGGUCCCAUUACAGUUAUGUAUUACCGUUGUAUGUCGCAUAAACGAGUUCCCGAGUAAGUUCCAGGCAUAGCUUUCUUAACAGGCCCUGGUUUUUGUGUCGGAUUCUGGUUUUUAGCUCCAUUGCAGUUCCAAUUGGUCUCGCUGUGGAGUUGAUCGGUGGGUGUGUCGAGGUUGAUAUAAUUAAGCAAAAUUGCAGGAGAAAGCUCCAGCAUCUGUAUUUUAUGGUACAAUGUCUUGACCAAGUGUGGCAGCUAUGAAGACUGUUUUUUUCGGGAGUUUUCUGAAGUUCAAGUUAGUGCAUCAACAUUCUGCUUUUAGAGGCAUGAAAGAACAGUUUAGCAGCAGAUUAGUCUUGGUUUUGGACUACAAGGAAAUGUUUGGUUUGUUCUUUAUGAUUCACAUCUAUUUGGUCUUACUAUAACCAUAAUUGGUAUAUUAAUAAUCAUGGGACAACAGUGUCCCUAAAACCUCAUUUGUGAUUUGUUAUGAAACAGGGAAGCCACAUCAGGAUCUAUGAUGUUGAUAAGGACUGGAAAAACCAAAUCAGGAAGCCACAUCACAUUGCUCUGCUUGGUCCUUUAUAUAUAACUUUAAUAUAUUUUCUUCCUUCUCACUUGUUAUGAAAAUGUUGAGGAUAAUGAGGAAGAUUUCAGUUGAUGGUGCCAAAUGGUUAUGCAAAAAAAGACUUCAUGGCAAAUGAAUCUUUCCAGAAACAGAUGAAUAAGGAUCCUGAAGGCUAUGUUCCAAUUACUGUGAUUGCUUCCACCAAAAAGAUCAAGUCACUUGUUAGCAACAUUCCUCUUCUUACACAGGCUAUCCGCCAGUCUUCAAAACU